GCAGUCGAACGGUAAGGCCCUUCGGGGUACACGAGUGGCGAACGGGUGAGUAACACGUGGGUGAUCUGCCCUGCACUUUGGGAUAAGCCUGGGAAACUGGGUCUAAUACCGAAUAGGACUCCGGACUGCAUGGUCUGGGGUGGAAAGCUUUUGCGGUGUGGGAUGGGCCCGCGGCCUAUCAGCUUGUCGGUGGGGUGAUGGCCUACCAAGGCGACGACGGGUAGCCGGCCUGAGAGGGUGACCGGCCACACUGGGACUGAGAUACGGCCCAGACUCCUACGGGAGGCAGCAGUGGGGAAUAUUGCACAAUGGGCGCAAGCCUGAUGCAGCGACGCCGCGUGGGGGAUGACGGCCUUCGGGUUGUAAACCUCUUUCAGCACAGACGAAGCGCAAGUGACGGUAUGUGCAGAAGAAGGACCGGCCAACUACGUGCCAGCAGCCGCGGUAAUACGUAGGGUCCGAGCGUUGUCCGGAAUUACUGGGCGUAAAGAGCUCGUAGGUGGUUUGUCGCGUUGUCCGUGAAAACUCACAACUCAAUUGUGGGCGUGCGGGCGAUACGGGCAGACUGGAGUACUGCAGGGGAGACUGGAAUUCCUGGUGUAGCGGUGGAAUGCGCAGAUAUCAGGAGGAACACCGGUGGCGAAGGCGGGUCUCUGGGCAGUAACUGACGCUGAGGAGCGAAAGCGUGGGGAGCGAACAGGAUUAGAUACCCUGGUAGUCCACGCCGUAAACGGUGGGUACUAGGUGUGGGUUUCCUUCCUUGGGAUCCGUGCCGUAGCUAACGCAUUAAGUACCCCGCCUGGGGAGUACGGCCGCAAGGCUAA
rnacentral:rRNA from 1 species